UGGGGAAUAUUGGACAAUGGGCGCAAGCCUGAUCCAGCCAUGCCGCGUGUGUGAAGAAGGCCUUCGGGUUGUAAAGCACUUUAAGUGGGGAGAAAGGCUCGUUGGCGAAUACCCAACGGGAUUGAUGUUACCCACAGAAUAAGCACCGGCUAACUCCGUGCCAGCAGCCGCGGUAAUACGGAGGGUGCGAGCGUUAAUCGGAAUUACUGGGCGUAAAGCGCGCGUAGGCGGUUUGUUAAGUCAGCUGUGAAAGCCCCGGGCUCAACCUGGGAACUGCAGUUGAUACUGGCCGACUAGAGUACGAGAGAGGGAGGUAGAAUUCCAUGUGUAGCGGUGAAAUGCGUAGAUAUAUGGAGGAAUACCAGUGGCGAAGGCGGCCUCCUGGCUCGAUACUGACGCUGAGGUGCGAAAGCGUGGGGAUCAAACAGGAUUAGAUACCCUGGUAGUCCACGCUGUAAACGAUGAACACUGGCUGUGCGAAGGCGAC
rnacentral:rRNA from 1 species